rnacentral:rRNA from 1 species
UACGUAGGGGGCUAGCGUUGUCCGGAUUUAUUGGGCGUAAAGAGCGUGUAGGCGGCCAGGUAGGUCUGCUGUGAAAACUCGAGGCUCAACCUCGAGAUGUCGGCGGAAACCAUCUGGCUAGAGUCCGGAAGAGGAGAGUGGAAUUCCUGGUGUAGCGGUGAAAUGCGCAGAUAUCAGGAAGAACACCCGUGGCGAAGGCGGCUCUCUAGUACGGUACUGACGCUGAGACGCGAAAGCGUGGGGAGCGAACAGG